rnacentral:snRNA from 1 species
AUACUUAAAUGGCAGGGGAAAUACCAUGAUGACAAAAGUGGUUUUUCUAAGGUAAGAAUUACCGUUGCAGUCUGACCCCUGCAAUUUCUCCAAAUGUGGGAAACUCAACUGCAUAAUUUGUGGUAGUGGGGGGCUGUGUUCCUGCUCUUCCCUG